UGCCCAGAUAGCUCAGUCGGUAGAGCAAGGGACUGAAAAUCCCUGUGUCCGUGGUUCGAUUCCGCGUCUGGGCACCAU
rnacentral:tRNA from 1 species